rnacentral:tRNA from 1 species
GCCCAGGUGGCGGAAUAGGCAGACGCGCUAGCUUGAGGGGCUAGUGGGAUAUUAUCCCGUGCUGGUUCGACUCCAGUCCUGGGCA